CGGAGAGUUUGAUCCUGGCUCAGAACGAACGCUGGCGGCGUGCCUAACACAUGCAAGUCGAGCGGGGAUCGUCGGGUGGGCAACCACUCGGCGGUCCCAGCGGCGGACGGGUGAGUAACACGUGGGUAACCUGCCUGGGAGACCGGGAUAACCUCUCGAAAGGGGGGCUAAUACCGGAUGCGUUCCUCGGGACACAAGUUCCGGGGAGGAAAGGUCGCGCAAGCUGCCGCUCCCAGAGGGGCCCGCGGCCCAUUAGCUCGUUGGCGGGGUAACGGCCCACCAAGGCGAUGAUGGGUAGCCGGCCUGAGAGGGU
rnacentral:rRNA from 1 species